rnacentral:rRNA from 1 species
CCUACGGGUCGCACCAGUGGGGAAUAUUGCACAAUGGGCGCAAGCCUGAUGCAGCCAUGCCGCGUGUAUGAAGAAGGCCUUCGGGUUGUAAAGUACUUUCAGCGGGGAGGAAGGCGAUAAGGUUAAUAACCUUGUCGAUUGACGUUACCCGCAGAAGAAGCACCGGCUAACUCCGUGCCAGCAGCCGCGGUAAUACGGAGGGUGCAAGCGUCAAUCGGAAUUACUGGGCGUAAAGCGCACGCAGGCGGUCUGUCAAGUCGGAUGUGAAAUACCCGGGCUCAACCUGGGAACUGCAUUCGAAACUGGCAGGCUGGAGUCUUGUAGAGGGGGGUAGAAUUCCAGGUGUAGCGGUGAAAUGCGCAGAGAUCUGGAGGAAUACCGGUGGCGAAGGCGGCCCCCUGGACAAAGACUGACGCCCAGGUGCGAAAGCGUGGGGAGCAAACAGGAUUAGAUACCCCUGUAGUC